UGAUUUCGAGGAAAAUAGGCGCGUUGGAGGGUAGCAUGGAAAAUGAAUUCCAUGAAAAUUCUUGCCCAUCAAACACUCAAAUGUGGAAGAUGCAAAUUAAUUUCCAUUGUCCAUGGAAAUUCUUGCCUAUCAAAUAGAGCCAGGAUUUAUGGUGGGAACUGGAAAUUGAAUACAAGCAUAUUUGGUUGAGUUAUUCCCUAGUGGGCCUUUGAGAGCAAAACAAAAUCAUUUGAUAUGUACACCACUUUUCUGAUGAUUCCAUUAAUUUGAUUAAGCUAAGGUCUACGUUCAACCAACCUUCCCUAUAAGUAGAGAUGUUGUUAUGACUAAUUCUCAUCAAUCUUACUCUCUCUCUGAAACCAACAAUAUUUUGAUUACAACUAAGAGACACAUCUGAUACACAUUCCCUCUCAAUAAACUCUCUAUCUGAUCAGCAUUUUGUCCAAACCAACAAUACUUGAUGGGUUUCUCUUACGAAAAUCUGUCACUUCUAGUCACAAGCCCAGAUCUCCUUUCCCAUCUGCAAGAUUUAAAGCUUGAUGGAGGAGAAAAACUUGUUAACUUUCAAUGGUUAGGGCCACACUUUUUAGCUUUUCUCAAAUAUGCAAAAGAACUGCACGAGGAUUUGAUAAUACCCGAAGGGAAUGACUUCAGCCCGAGAUUUAUUGAUCUGCUGAAGUGUCUUGAUGAUGCAGCCUCCAACUGCAUCUUAUAUGGAGAGACCGAACAUUACAAAAACUUUUUAGAAAUCAUUCUCUCUUUCAUGCCAUACAUUAAGAAGCUUUUCACUCUUCAAAACACGCUGGAAUUUGAAUGUAAUGGUUAUGGCGAUCCACAUUAUGUGCUUCGGGAAAGCUUUAUCAACUUUCUUUAUGAAACUAUUGGAGAAUUGCUUAAUUGCGAAACAUAUUCCAGUGUUCUUGUGAGUAAUCAAGUCAAAGUUCUUUGGAAGGAGCUGAAAUUUCUGCUAACUUUUUUUGUUGAUACAAUGCAAUAUACAUCCGAAAUGGAACAGCAACAGAUCGAGCAGAUGUUUGAAGGGAAUACAAUCACAGAAAUUGGACAUGUAUACGACACAGUAGGGGUUUUCUUGCAUAAGUUGUUUUUCACCACAGACCAUGUUACCACUACCGAAAUGGAUGAGCCAAUUUUUCUUCUGUUAAAAAGGAUUGCGUCUGUGCAAAAGGAGAUAAAAAAUCACUACAUUGAAGUCUCAAUGAAGCUGACUUGCGGAAAUGGAAGCCUACAAAUUGCAGAAAGUCAAAGUGAAGUAUCAUCAUCCCAACAUAAAAACAUUCCUAUGGCAGAAGAGAUGAUUGUGGGCUUCGAGGACGUGACAACACAAAUUGCAAGUAAGAUUCUUGGAGGACCAAGCUACCGCCAGAUUAUUUCCAUCGUUGGAAUGGGUGGUCUUGGCAAGACAUCUUUAGCAAAGAAAGUGUACAAUGAUUCCAACGUUCGGAACUAUUUUGAUAUGCUUUCUUGGUGUGUUGUUUCUCAAACUUACAAAAAGAGAAAGCUGUUGAUUGACAUUUUGAGCUCUGGAACUAACCUUAACAGAGAAGAACUUUCGAAAAAGGAAGACGAAGAAUUGGCCGAACUUCUUUACAAAAAUUUAAAGGGGAGAAGAUACCUCAUUGUUAUAGACGAUCUGUGGGAUAAAGAAGCGUGGGAUGAUUUGAAAAGGUUAUUUCCUGAGGACAAAAAUGGAAGCAGAGUAUUGUUCACCAGUCGGCAGAAAAAUGUGGCAUUGGAAAUUUCACAAGUUAUUCUUGAACCUCCUCUCAUGUCACCAGGUGAAAGUUGGAAUUUAUUAGAGCAGAAUCUGUUCAAGAGUGACCGUUGCCCUCAAGAACUGCAAGAUAUUGGAAAGCAAAUUGCAACAAAUUGUCAUGGACUUCCUCUUUCGGUUGUCACGAUAGCUGGAGUUCUUUCAAAUAUGGAGAAGAAAGAAAGCUUAUGGCAAGAUGUUGCAAAAAGUUUAAGUUCUUACAUUUCCCAAAAAGCCGACGACUAUCUUCCCACAUUGAAACUUAGUUACAUGCAUUUACCAAAUCACCUGAAACCAUGUUUCCUCUAUCUUAGUGCAUUCCAGGAAGACGAGGAAAUUUGGGUUAAGAAGCUAUUAUUAUUCUGGAUAGCUGAAGGUUUCAUAGAAAAAAAAGAGCACAAGAGCUUAGAAGAUAUUGCUGAGGAAUAUCUAGUAGAACUAAUUGACAGGAGCCUGCUGCAAGUUGCCACAAGAAGGUCUAACAAUGGAGUAAACGCAUGUACUCUUCACGAUCUAGUGCUCGACAUGUGCAGAAAAAUGGCGGUAGAAGAUGAAACAUUUUUGUUUCAACACCAAUUUUUGAUAUCUAAGCUUCGCCAUCGCUUGUGUAUGGAUCGGGUCUCACCUGCCUUAUCCAUUCUUUACAAUUCUGAAAAAGUAAGGAUCUUUGAUCAAAGAUAUUAUUCAAGUAUUCUACUAGGGAUCAAAAUUAUGCCUGACUUGAGGUACUUGGCUAUUCCAUCAUUAGAUUCAACAAUAAGCAGACUUCAGAACCUAGAAGUUCUUCGUGUGGGAGUUAAAAGAAUACCAGCAUACCUUCUCAGUAUGCCUAAGUUGAGACAUCUAGAUGUCGGAACCUUUGAGACACAUGCAAAGUUCAGUAAGAAUUGUGAUUGCUCCCAAAUAAAUAGCCUACAAACCCUUUUUCACGUUCGCAUUGGCAAUUCGAAACAUGAAGAAAUCUUGAGGUGUUCUCCAAAUCUUCUUGCCCUUAAAUGCAAAUCUUCAAACAAUUUCGUUCCCAAUUUCAACUUUCCUUCUCAGCUUCAAUCACUCACAUUUAUAGGACAUGAAUUCAAAAUUGAUUACUCAGGGGUUAACUUCCCCAAGAAUAUCAAAAAACUUAGUCUUAGUUCGCUCUUUUUGCCAUGGGAAAAGAUGUCAUUAAUUGGGACACUUCCCAACCUCGAGAUUUUGAAAUUAGGUUCAAGAUCAUAUGAAGGAGAAAUUUGGAGCACAAAGGAUGAUGAGUUCCAAAAACUCAAGUUCCUUAGAUUAUGUAACCUGGAUCUUGAAGAGUGGAAUUCCUCACACGAUCAUUUCCCUGUACUUGAACGACUGGUGUUGUAUUUUUGUAAAAACUUGGACAAAAUUCCUCCCGAGUUUAGCAAUAUUCUAACACUACAGAAGAUCGAGGUAGAUUAUUGUGGUGAAAAUGUCGGAAGUUCAGCUUUGAAAAUUCGUGAAGAACAACAGGAUUAUGGUAACGAAGAGUUUGAAGUGACCAUCAGUAAUGAAAGAAUGACAGGAAAGGAUUUUGAAUUCUCUACCAGAAAUUGGGCCUCCAAUCCUCUCUACCAAUCACAACUACAGCUUCAACAUGGGUGAUCACAAAGUUAGGAAUGAGGAACCAAUGUCAUGGUCGGACGAGAAUGAACACAGGUGGCAGUAUGGCAGAGCUGGGGAUAUCCGAGUCAUUCAAGACAAUUAUUUAAGGGUCGACGAAGUCAUCACUUGUGCCCCAUGGCAGAGAGAAGACAGAAUGUAAAGAAAUGCUUUAUUUAUAAGUGAAACUCAAGACAAUUAUUGCAAUGCUUUGUAUUUGUGUGUCGUGAAUCAGAUGG